UACGUAGGGGGCAAGCGUUGUCCGGAUUUAUUGGGCGUAAAGCGCGCGUAGGCGGCCACGCAGGUCCGCUGUGAAAACUCGAGGCUCAACCUCGAGAUGUCGGUGGAAACCGCGUGGCUAGAGUCCGGAAGAGGAGAGUGGAAUUCCCGGUGUAGCGGUGAAAUGCGCAGAUAUCGGGAGGAACACCAAUGGCGAAGGCAGCUCGCUGGGACGGUACUGACGCUAAGGCGCGAAAGCGUGGGGAGCGAACAGG
rnacentral:rRNA from 1 species